ensembl:lncRNA
GUCUAGACGGACAAGCCUACUCUCUGUCUCAGUCUAGACAGACAAGCCUACUCUCUGUCUCAAUCUAGACGGACAAGCCUACUCUCUGUCUCAGUCUAGACGGACAAGCCUACUCUCUGUCUCAGUCUAGACGGACAAGCCUACUCUCUGUCUCAGUCUAGACGGACAAGCCUACUCUCUGUCUCAGUCUAUACGGACAAGCCUGCUCUCUGUCUCAGUCUAGACGGACAAGCCUGCUCUCUGUCUCAGUCUACUCUCUGUCUCAGUCUAUACGGACAAGCCUACUCUCUGUCUCAGUCUACUCUCUGUCUCAGUCUACUCUCUGUUUCAGUCAACUCUCUGUCUCAGUCUAGACAGACAAGACUGCUAUCUGUCUCAGUCUUUGACGGACAAGCCUACUCUCUGUCUCAGUCUAGACGGACAAGCCUACUCUCUGUCUCAGUCUAGACGGACAAGCCUGCUGUCUGUCUCAGUCUAGACGGAAAAGCCUACUCUCUGUCUCAGUCUAGACAGACAAGCCUGCUCUCUGUCUCAGUCUAGACAGACAAGCCUACUCUCUGUCUCAGUCUAGACAGACAAGCCUACUCUCUGUCUCAGUCUAGACAGACAAUCCUGCUCUCUGUCUCAGUCUAGACAGACAAGCCUGCUCUCUGUCUCAGUCUAGACAGACAAGCCUGCUCUCUGUCUCAGUCUAGACAGACAAGCUAACUGCUUCUGGUUUCCAUGAAUAGGUCUACAUCGCCUGCUCUUUGGAGGUGGACAGUCUAAUAGACGACUGGUUUAGUUUGACCUGUGUAAUCCAUGUACAUAGAAAAGUCACAUUAUGUAGCCUAAACGUUUCGUGUAAUAUGAGACAUGUUCUAAAUGGGAUUCUUGGGAUGUCCCAACUCUGACGUCACCCCGUUGAAGUUGAUAUUUAAAAUGGUUAAGGGUUAAGGGUUAUUAAGGUGUUGAUAUAGUUCUGUCCUUGAGCUGUUGUCUAAUAAUGUUCUGUAUUAUGUCAUGGUUCAUGUUCUGUGUUGGACCCCAGGAAGAGUAGCUGCUGCUUUCUCAACAGCUAAUUGGGAAUCCUAAUAACAUACCAAAUACCAAAGGUUAUGGUUAAGGUUAGGGUUAGGCUUUAUGGUAUGUAUGUCCCAAGAAUCCCAACUUGCAAUUGUGACGAGUCCAUUUUCAAAGUCUAGGGAGACAUCUGUUGGUGAAGGGAGACAAGUACUAAUUUUAUGUGUCUGAAAUGAGCCCAUCCAGACAAACCAUUAGUCUUGGGGGAAACCUCAUACUUUGCAAAAUGUUUGUCCUCAUUUUUACCCCAAUGCCUACACAUUUGUACUCUUUGUCCCACUUUUAUACUGUUUUCCAAAUACAGGUGAAAUUGUGUUUCCAUUAACCACCUCACAGGCUAUGCAUGUGUUGACCACUAGAUGUCACUAGACCCCUUCAAAUCUGAACAAUAAGUCUUUGCUCAGGACCACACGUUUGUUAAUGUUGUUGCCCUCCUCCACUACAAAAUAAAUAGUAUUUGUCACAUGACCCAGAAUACAACCCAAUGAUGCCGAGUUAAACAAAAUAAUAUUAACACGCGACAAAGACAAAUAAAAUACACAAGAGUGAAGCUAAUUUGUUCUUAACUGACUUGCCUAGUUAAAUGAAGGUAAAAUAAAAAAAUAUAUGCCUUUAUUUAUCCUAUGGCUCUGACUUGGUGUACAGGGAGAAUACUGUAAGAAUGGCCCAUGUUCUGAAUUCUGUCGCUGUACAUUUCAAAAGUGUUGAACAAAUAGUUAUAUUGACUACAUCCGUCCCAGCUCACUCAUUAAGGUCUUUAUCGAAAUUACGGAUUGCCUCUUAUCCGCUCGUUGUCCCCUUAUGCCAUAGUUUGUACAUGUCAAUUGUCAAUAGAAACCACAUUUGUUUAAGCAAAUCAGCCAUAUUAGCUAUGUUAUUAUUUCCUUCAGGAAUGUAGUGAAGUAUAAGUAAAAGUCAUAAAAAAUAUAAAUAGUAAAGUAAAGUACAGAUACUCAAAAAAACGACUUAAGUAGUACUUUAAAGUAUUUUUUACUUAAGUACUUUACACCAUUGUAUGUCACCGUUAUAGUGCAAUUAAUGUAUUGUGUAGUGUUGUGUAGUGGCUUUGCUGGCAUAAAUAAAUAAAACAUACAAUUGUUUGCCUCACCAAUAUUUCCAUGCUAAAAUCGCC